AUUGAACGCUGGCGGCAGGCCUAACACAUGCAAGUCGAGCGAGCGGCGGACGGGUGAGUAAUGUAUGGGGACUGCCCGAUAGAGGGGGAUAACUACUGGAAACGGUGGCUAAUACCGCAUACUAUCGGAUAACCCAUAUGGGAUUGGAUAGUCGGGGGGGUAAAGGCUCACCUCGGCGACGAUCUCUAGCUGGUCUGAGAGGAUGAUCAGCCAAAUGGGGACUGAGAAAAGGCCCAGACUCCUACGGAGGCAGCAGUGGGGAAUAUUGCACAAUGGGCUCAAGCCGGAUGCAGCCAUGCCGCGUGUAUGAAGAAGGCCGUCGGGUUGUAAAGCACUUUCAGCGAGGAGGCGUUACUCGCAGAAGAAGCACCGGCUAACUCCGUGCCAGCAGCCGCGGUAAUAC
rnacentral:rRNA from 1 species